rnacentral:rRNA from 1 species
UACGGAGGGUGCAAACGUUGCUCGGAAUCAUUGGGCGUAAAGCGCACGUAGGCGGACUCUUAAGUCGGUGGUGAAAUCCUGGAGCUCAACUCCAGAACUGCCUUCGAUACUGAGAGUCUCGAGUCCGGGAGAGGUGAGUGGAACUGCGAGUGUAGAGGUGAAAUUCGUAGAUAUUCGCAAGAACACCAGUGGCGAAGGCGGCUCACUGGCCCGGCAUUGACGCUGAGGCGCGAAAGCCAGGGGAGCAAACGGG